ensembl:snoRNA SNORA72 Small nucleolar RNA SNORA72
AAAUGAACAGACACUUCUCAAAAGAAGAAAUAUGAAUGGACAUUCACUAUAUAAUGACUAUGCAUGUGUCCCCAGACAUAGUUCUUUCCCUGGGUCUGAUUUUAUAAAUGCUGGUGAUAAAC